UACGUAGGGGGCAAGCGUUGUCCGGAUUUACUGGGCGUAAAGAGCGUGUAGGCGGCCAAACAGGUCCGUUGUGAAAACUGGAGGCUCAACCUCCAGACGUCGACGGAAACCGUGUGGCUAGAGUCCGGAAGAGGAGAGUGGAAUUCCGGGUGUAGCGGUGAAAUGCGUAGAGAUCCGGAGGAACACCAGUGGCGCAGGCGGCUUACUGGUCCGGUUCUGGACGCUGAGGCGCGAAAAGCGUGGGGAGCAAACAGG
rnacentral:rRNA from 1 species